ensembl:lncRNA
CUACCAUUUUUAUUCAGAACCUUUCAUCUGUACGUGUUGUGAUUUCCCGGUGACCUUACCUUGCAGGAAAGUAUCAAAACAAGCCAAGGCCGAAAAGAUCAAGGAGAAACCACAGCUUCGGGGUAAACAUUUCAACGUUUGCUUCGUCUUGCAGUGUGUGUUUACUGUUGUUGAUCUCUUUGAAAAGAACAGACGGGUAGCCAAACGACUGCCCCUCUCAACCUACGCUUGGAUUUACAACACAUGUCAGAUUUUUUUUCCCAGGCGCGAGUGUCCCGCUUGAAACACAUGUCUGUUUCCCAGUUAUUUGCAAGUGGUCCUGUGUGACAAGUCGAAAGUAUGUGUUGAAAAUCCAUGCGGGACUGAAGAAAGGUCUGGGUGCCAAAUGGUGUGUUUUAAAAUGGAAGCCCUAAGGCGGGGAGCUGCAGCUUAGAGAAAUAGGGGCUGUUCAUGUGCUGCCUAUUUUGUCUGUAUCCUUGGAAUAUGUGGUGAAUGUGUUUUUGUACAUGGUAUCUUUGUGUGUGAGCAUUAAUGUCAUACUACUCUGUAUGUGUGUGUAUGUGAAAGUGUGUAAGGUGUAAGUUUACAAUAGAAUCAGGGGUUUGUGGGCUGUAAAUAUCUGCUUCACCCAAUGACUGCACAGUGAGCUGCAGACGCCCCUAGACAUGGUUGCAGAGAGAGAGAGAGAGAUAAAGAGAUACAGAGUGAGAGAGAGCAGUGACACAAUCAAUGACACAUCAACAUCCUGGAAUGACGCCAAGAACACGCUGCAGUCAGCCGUGACUGCAGCUCUACUUCCUGUUUUGUUGGCACCGGUGGGGAGCUUCACCUAGGCACAGAUAUAAUCAGCUUCCCCUCUCCAAUCGUGUCAUUAAACAACUUACUAAUGUCUUUGCCCUUUUGCCCUUAAUUUGCAUAUGUUGGUAUACAAAAACAUUUAUGAAUAGAAAAUGAUCAUUGUGAAACACAUCUAAACCAAUCCUCCAAAAAUGUAUAAGUAGGACAUUUCCUAUGUAAUAUAUACGGUACCACUAAAAGUUUGGACACAUUCAAGGGUGUUUCUUUAGUUUUAUUAUUUGCCACAAUGCAGAAUUAUAGUGAAGAGAUCAAAACUAACUUUUCCUUUAGUCUGCAGUCCAAGUAAUUCCAAGUAAUCUCCACUGGGUUGAGGUCAGGUGAUUGUGGAGGCCAGGUCAUCUGUUGCAACACUCACACACUGUAGUUCUUGAUCAAAUAGCCCUUACACAGCCUGGAGGUGUGUUUUGAGUCAUUGUUCUGUUGAAAAUCUAAUUAUAGCCCCACUAGCGCAAACCAGAUGGAAUGGUGUAUCGCUGCACAAUGCUGUAGUAGCAAUCAUUGUUGAGUGUGCCUUGAAUUCUAAAUAAAUCCCAGUGUCAACAGCAAAGCACCCCCACAUCAUUACACCUCCUCCUUCAUUCUUCAUGGUCAGAACCACCCAUCUGGAGACCAUCCGUCACGCACUCUGGGUCUCACAAAGACACGGCAGUUGGGACCUAAUUUGGACUAGUAAGACCAAAGGACAGAUUUCCACCGAUCUAAUGUCCAUUUCUUGUGUGUCUUGGUCCUAGCAUUUCUCUUCUCAUUGGUGUCCUUCAGUAGUGGUUUCUUUGCAGUAAUGAAGGCCUGAUUCACGCAGUCUCCUCUGAACACAUGAUGCUGAGAUGUGUCAGUUACUAGAACUCUGUGAAACAUGUAUUUGGGCUGCAAUCUGAGUUACAGUUAAUAACAGAUUUCUGAGGCUGGUACAGCAGAUAUAAAAAGUCUACACACCCCUGUUAAAAUUGCCAGGUUUUUGUGAUGUAAAAGAAUGAGACAAAGAUAAAUCAUGUCAGAACUUUCUCCAUUUUUAAUGUGACCUAUAAUGUGAACAAUUCAAUUGAAAAACCAAGUACAUCACAAGCACCUGGCAUUUUAACAGGGAUGUGUAGACUUUUUAUAUCCACUGUAGCUCAAAUGAACUUAUCCUCUGCAACAAAGGUAAUACUGGGUCUUUCUUUCCUGUGGCGGUCCUCAUGAGAGCCAAUUUCAUCAUAGUGCUUAAUGGUUUUCAUAACCCUACUUGAAUUUUUUUUUUUAGAGUUCUUGACAUUUUCCAGAUUCACUAAACUUCAUGUCUUAU